CCCUUAGCUGUCCUGGGCCGCACGCGCGCUACACUGAGUGUCUGAGAUACGAGUCUGCCUGGUCCGGCAAGGUCUAGGUAAUCGCUAAAAGACACAUCAUGCUUGGGAUAGAUUAUUGCAAAUAUUAAUCUUGAACGAGGAAUUCCUAGUAAGCGCAAGUCAACAGCUUGCGUUGAUUACGUCCCUGCCCUUUGUACACACCGCCCGUCGCUACUACUGAUUGGAUGUUUAAGCGAGGUUCUCGAACUGCUAGCGACUUAGCUUCGGUGAGGUCGCAGUGUGGGAAGUGAACCUAGCUUUGGUGUCUAGAGGAAGUAAAAGUCGUAACA
rnacentral:rRNA from 1 species